rnacentral:rRNA from 1 species
CAGUAGCCGCGGUAAUACAGAGGGUGCGAGCGUUAAUCGGAUUUACUGGGCUUAAAGCGUGCGUAGGCGGCUUUUUAAGUCGGAUGUGAAAUCCCUGAGCUUAACUUAGGAAUUGCAUUCGAUACUGGGAAGCUAGAGUAUGGGAGAGGAUGGUAGAAUUCCAGGUGUAGCGGUGAAAUGCGUAGAGAUCUGGAGGAAUACCGAUGGCGAAGGCAGCCAUCUGGCCUAAUACUGACGCUGAGGUACGAAAGCAUGGGGAGCAAACAGGAUUAGAUACCCGCGUAGUCCCUGUCUCUUAUAA